rnacentral:rRNA from 1 species
CCUACGGGAGGCAGCAGUGGGGAAUAUUGCACAAUGGGCGCAAGCCUGAUGCAGCCAUGCCGCGUGUGUGAAGAAGGCCUUCGGGUUGUAAAGCACUUUCAGCGGGGAGGAAGGCGUUAAGGUUAAUAACCUUGUCGAUUGACGUUACCCGCAGAAGAAGCACCGGCUAACUCCGUGCCAGCAGCCGCGGUAAUACGGAGGGUGCAAGCGUUAAUCGGAAUUACUGGGCGUAAAGCGCACGCAGGCGGUCUGUCAAGUCGGAUGUGAAAUCCCCGGGCUCAACCUGGGAACUGCAUUCGAAACUGGCAGGCUAGAGUCCUGGAGAGGGGGGUAGAAUUCGAGGUGUAGCGGUGAAAUGCGUAGAGAUCUGGAGGAAUACCGGUGGCGAAGGCGGCCCCCUGGACAAAGACUGACGCUCAGGUGCGAAAGCGUGGGGAGCAAACAGGAUUAGAUACCCUUGUAGUC